GCCAGAGGCGAUAACACGUUGAAUGCGCCGGUUCCCAGUGGUUCACUGAAGGUAAGCGACAUUGCGCGUGGUUGGUAUUCAGAUGGGUGGUUAUCUGGGCAAUGGCGUGUAGGUU
rnacentral:rRNA from 1 species